rnacentral:rRNA from 1 species
UACGGGGGGAGCAAGCGUUGUUCGGAUUUACUGGGCGUAAAGGGCGCGUAGGCGGCGUGACUAGUCACUUGUGAAAUCUCCGGGCUUAACUCGGAACGGUCAAGUGAUACUGUCGUGCUAGAGUACAGAAGGGGCAACUGGAAUUCUCGGUGUAGCGGUGAAAUGCGUAGAUAUUGAGAGGAACACCUGCGGCGAAGGCGGGUUGCUGGGCUGAUACUGACGCUGAUGCGCGAAAGCCAGGGGAGCGAACGGG